ensembl:lncRNA
GGCCACAGCACAUAGUGCCCCUGUAAAGCUACACUAGUGGCGAUAGAGGAUUGAAAGGUUGAGCUCAGACCACAAACACUACUUUCUGUUUACCUCCUGCCCCUGCAACAAGGCCUUCCCCUGAUCUGAGCUAAUCCAACAGGCUAAUCUUGCCACUAGCUUGAGAACCACAGGAAUCAUUCUACUCUCCCUCAUUGUGAGGAAAGGUCCCAAUGUUCUAACCCAGCUGGAGUCCCAAGACGGGAUACAUGUGAUAGCACCAUGUGCACCACUACGAUGGUCCUCACCACUAUUGCUGUCAUCCUAUACAGAAAGUUCUCAAACCGAGUCGAACCGCACAAUGUUGAUGAUACCAAUGAGGAGCCCUACAUGAAGAGCAAUGGAGUGGACCCUAAGAAAUAACAACCCUCACAGCAGAUGUAGCUCUAGUCUACAGUGUACAUGGUACAUAAAAGUAAAAUAACAAGUAGCCUACAGAACUGAAUGCUGUCUGAUAUUUCAAGAUGUGUUAAGGAAUACAAGAGGAGGAGGGGAAGAGAGAGGGAGGGAAAAUGGAACAUGUGGCAGAAGUAGAGAUGCAUGAAGUGAGAAGAUGUAUGGCCGUUCCACAUUUAGCUUUCAAGUACUCACCACUACGCUGCUCCCACUAAAUGAUUUAGUGGCAGAACAACAAUCCAUCAGCUCUGUGGAAGGUUAUUAUAAAUGCAUUACCUCCCCAAGCCUACCAGUUCAAUGGAGUCGUGCAGGGCCUCAUAAAUAUGGGUCAAUAUAGGGACACACACAAAAGACUCAGGAUGAAUGAAAUAGGCUUUAUUGUUUUAGUGUGAACUUUCACCCUACCUGUGCGUAGAAGCUCUCAGAUCUGAGGCGGGUCUUUUCAAAUGAAGAGACACACGAACUGAAGACAGGUCUUCACCUUGAUGGCUACACAUCUGAUCCCUCUAAUAUUAUUUCAGCAGAGGAUUGUCCCAGGAGGCCUCCCUCCUCCUUCUUGAGGCAGGAGAAUUACAUUUCUGGGAAUGAAACCUCAACCAAUCACAUCUUGGUGGAGCUGAAUCUACAGAACAACGUCUUGGUUUAUUGUGGGUUUCUUGUUUUGUAGAGUUGGAUGUUUUCUUAAGGCUUAAAGUAGGCCAAUGAUCAAUGUAAAACUGUUGGAAUGUGUUCCGUGCCUCAAAAAACAGUAGUUUUCUUUGAUUGUCAAAUAGGGCUAUACAGAUGUGUCCAUUGAGUAAAUUAUAAUGGCUUUUAAAGAAGAGGCAGAACUUUAAAAUUAUGCACUUUAAAUGGUAGGAUGUUUUUGGUAAUCUUUCACAUUCCUAAAGUGACUUAAAUAUUGUUUUUGACUGAAACAAGGAGCUACGGAUAAGCAAUAUGUUUAAAAUGAAUCGCUUGAACCCAUAAAUAUUUGACCAAAUGUCAGAGAACAUAAAUGUCUUGUCGUGAAGAUGUUUGUGCCAUGGCUACUCAAUCUGAAGAGCAAUGGAAAGAGGCAUCUGUUUUGUACCUCUCUGUCAACCCUCUCCAGUCACAAUGCAUUGCUAUGUGAUGAAAGAAAACCUGCAAGUGAAUCACCUCUUCCCCUACACCUUUAGCAUCCCGUUGGUCCCAUUGAAGGAGCAACAGUCAGAAAGAGGUGUCUGCCUAUGUUCAAAACACAGCUCCAACUUUACUUGACAUUUUUAAAAGCAGCUAGGUGUCACCUUAGUAAACGUCUGCCUUGAGUCAGAGCUUGGUGAUGAUGGUGGUUACUGGUAGGACGGUUUGUUACAGAAUCGACUUUCCUUUGACAUGACAUCUUACAACCUACUUCUUCUCUCUAAAGCAAACAUUAUGUCUGUUCUUUGCUCUCCCCACCUGAUCAAAUAAAGAGAUUGGGAAAAAUGUAGUUAGUUUGUACAUAUUUUUAUGGCCUUGGUUUGAAUUUUCUCUUGUUGUAGGAUACCUACUCCCAAAUGUUGCAUUGUAUGUACUGCAUGAUGACCAUUACUGUAUUACCACUUAUAAGAGACCCUUCAACAUGUAACAUACACAGUCUGAGAUAUUGAAUCUGUUCAUGUUUGUUUUUUUAACCACUCCAAACAAGAAGAAUUAAGCAGAUACCUCAGCAAGACGUCACCUGACCUCAUAAGGAUAAAACAGUGAUCACAAACGUGAGCAGGUAAAUAUAGCUCUGCUGCUGACACAAUAGCCUUGUGUUAUUUACUUCCAAUCUCACCAGACGUCAACAUGACAGUGGUUACUAUCAAAUCAUUAGACUGGCAAAUGACCCCACAAAUUGAUUGAAGGACCUUGAAAAAGGUCCAUAAAGAAAAUCCAAACGAGUCAUGUUUAGGAAGACGCAGGGCUCUCGACCUUCGUCUCUCCCGAGUCCAUACGGGAGUUGCAGCGAUGGGAAAAGACUAACUACCAAUUAGAUACUACGAAAUUGGGAAGGAAAAUGGGUAAACAAAAAAACAAAAAAACAAGAAGAAGCCAAACGAAAACACCUGUGGUGUUACAGGCAACAAAAUAUUUUCUUUGGUUUGGUUUUCCGAUGUCAACGUUGUGAACAGAGUGCCCCAUGGUGGCACUCUGGUGGGGUUAUGGUGUGGGCAGGCAUAAGCUACAGACGACGAAUACAAUUGCAUUUUAUUGUAGAUGCACAGAGGUACUGUACCGUGAUGAGAUCCUGAGGCCCAUUGUCAUGCCAUUCAUCUGCCGCCAUCGCCUCAUGUUUCAGCAUGAUAAUGCAUGGCCCCAUGUCCCAAGGAUUUGAACACAAUUCCUGGAAACUGAAAAUGGCCCAGUUCUUCCAUGGUCUGCAUACUCAACAGGAAUGUCACCCAUUGAGCAUGUUUGGGAUGCUCUGCAUGUUGCGUUUAUAUUUUUACUAAGUAAAUAAUUACUACGGUCUAAAUAAAAAUAUUCAAAAUACUUAACCAGAGACAUGACUUAGCCACACAGGAUCAUUAGCUUGUUUAAAAAAAAAUGCUAUGGAUAGUUUCAAGUCACAAGUGUGUAAGCCUAUGCUUAUUUGGGAAUCACGGAAUUGGGUAACAUGAACGGCAAAAUGUCUAGCUGAUUGAGAUGUGUCUGUCAGUGACAAGCAUCUAAAAUAUGUGUGAAGAUAAUAUGUCUUGAGUAUAAUAUAAAAUGUUGCAACAAGGAGGGGAGGGUAGGUGGAGAAGACAUGUCUCUCUCCAGAAUGCGCUCAGUGGUCUCCUAACAAUUAUUGCGCAUGAAUUGUUUCAUUAUGUGAAUUGUUUGCCCUAUUGUUAAUUUAAAAAAAUAAA